AGGCAACCGACUGAGGUCUUGGGGAAUGAGACUGGACUGCAGCUGCUGGCUUAAUGAGGAGUUCUGAGGCUGAGCAGCAGAUUAUGCAGAAUUUCCUGUUCUUGUCAUGGUUGAAGGGAGAAGGAAGGGAGCAGGGGCACAGAGGUCCUCCCCAGAUCCAGUCCUGCACACCCUCGUGCCUGGAGGCUCACCGUCAGACUCCCCAGGAUGGGAAAGAUGUGUUUCUUGCCUGUCUUAUGUACACAGACUGCUUUUCCAUGGAGGAUUUCCAAGGGCGAUAUUGUUGUUCUCAGUGGGGUUGAACCUAAGGGGGUGAAGAAAGAAUGGAGAUUACAUGGAGAAGAAUUGGUGCAAGAGAGUGCUGCCAUUUUCCCAUGUUCCUUCUGUGUUUGGUGUGCCUUAGGUCUGUUCCUGGCAGUACAAUCUGAUACCUCUCCCUUUAAACCCAUGUUUCUUGGACUUGAAGAGAAGCUUUUGCUCUGA
rnacentral:lncRNA from 14 species